CCACCAUUUACUACAAAUAAUUAUUUAUUUAUAUAUUAUUUCUUACACAGCAACACAUAAUGCAGGUGGACAUGUAAAUCAGUUUCUUUAUUCAAGAAAAAAGUGAUAUUAGGAAAAUUAGUUUCUCUUUGAAGAAGCAAAUACACUGCGAGAUAUUGAAUUUAGAUGCUCUUUAAGCUGCUGGGACGACUGUACUUCCUCCCACAGCAUGUAGAAGCCAUAGAUCAGUCUGUGUCGUGCUGCUCAAAGUCAUGAAGUUACAUUGACUCAAAUGUGUACUAAUAAUCAGCUGGAAACUUAAUAAUCAUCAGUAAACACAAAGUUCACUAAAUGUAUGUCAUAAAUGUAAUUAUUUACCCAUUAUAUGGUGUAUGUUCUUUUAUUUUUUAGGAUACAUACUAUGAAAAUAUGGUUGGUUCCCAAAAUAAGAAACCUGUGAUGCGUCACACAUCUCACCCUGAUGAGGGAGUAAUAUAUGAAAACCCCUGACAUGCAGAAAUCAGCUCUUUGUAGAUAAUGAGGGAUUAAAGAGGGCAAAUGUCACCAGCUCUGGGAAGAGGAAGUAACAGUUAAUAUUUGUUUUGAUUGGUGUUUUGGUUAACAGAUCUGAUAGAUGAAAAUGUAUGAAAACAUGUAUGUAUAGUAAUUU